UCUCCUGGAAACGGGUGGUAAUGCCGGAUGUUCCACAUGAUCGCAUGUGAUUGUGGGAAAGAUUCUAUCGGCGUGGGAUGGGGUCGCGUCCUAUCAGCUUGUUGGUGAGGUAACGGCUCACCAAGGCUUCGACGGGUAGCCGGCCUGAGAGGGCGACCGGCCACAUUGGGACUGAGAUACGGCCCAGACUCCUACGGGAGGCAGCAGUGGGGAAUAUUGCACAAUGGGCGCAAGCCUGAUGCAGCGACGCCGCGUGAGGGAUGGAGGCCUUCGGGUUGUAAACCUCUUUUGUUUGGGAGCAAGCCUUCGGGUGAGUGUACCUUUCGAAUAAGCGCCGGCUAACUACGUGCCAGCAGCCGCGGUAAUACGUAGGGCGCAAGCGUUAUCCGGAUUUAUUGGGCGUAAAGGGCUCGUAGGCGGCUCGUCGCGUCCGGUGUGAAAGUCCAUCGCUUAACGGUGGAUCUGCGCCGGGUACGGGCGGGCUGGAGUGCGGUAGGGGAGACUGGAAUUCCCGGUGUAACGGUGGAAUGUGUAGAUAUCGGGAAGAA
rnacentral:rRNA from 1 species